rnacentral:rRNA from 1 species
UAGGUAAGGCGAGUGAAGGGGAAAAGCUCAAAUUUAAAAUCUGGCGGUCUUUGGCCGUCCGAGUUGUAGUCUGGAGAAGUGCUUCCGACGCUGGACCGUGUAUAAGUCUCUUGGAACAGAGCGUCAUAGAGGGUGAGAAUCCGUCUUUGACACGGACUACCAGUGCUUUGUGAUGCGCUCUCAAAGAGUCGAGUUGUUUGGGAAUGCAGCUCAAAAUGGGUGGUG